rnacentral:rRNA from 1 species
AUUGAACGCUGGCGGCAGGCUUAACACAUGCAAGUCGAACGAGCGGCGGACGGGUGUGUAAUAUCUCGGAAAGUGCCCGUUGGGGGGGGGUAACUAAUGGAAAGAUCAGCUAAUACCGCAUACCAUCAGAGGGGCCCAGAGCGGCUUAGCUAGUAGGUGGGGUAACGGCUAACCUAGGCGACGAUCCCUAGCUGGUCUGAGAGGAUGACCAGCCACCCUGGAACUGAGACACGGUCCAGACUCCUACGGGAGGCAGCAGUGGGGAAUAUUGCACAAUGGGCGCAAGCCUGAUGCAGCCAUGCCGCGUGUGUGAAGAAGGCCUUCGGGUUGUAAAGUACUUUCAGCGAGGAGGCGUUACUCGCAGAAGAAGCACCGGCUAACUCCGUGCCAGCAGCCGCGGUAAUAC